GCCAACGACCAUACCACGCUGAAUACAUCGGUUCUCGUCCGAUCACCGAAAUUAAGCAGCGUCGGGCGCGGUUAGUACUUAGAUGGGGGACCGCUUGAAUAACCUUUCAAGCUCGUGGCC
rnacentral:rRNA from 1 species